UACAGAGGUCCCAAGCGUUGUUCGGAUUCAUUGGGCGUAAAGAGCUCGUAGGCGGUUGGGUAAGUCGGGUGUGAAAACUCCGGGCUCAACUCGGAGACGCCACCCGAUACUGCUCUGACUUGAGUCCGGUAGGGGAGUGGGGAAUUCCUGGUGUAGCGGUGAAAUGCGCAGAUAUCAGGAGGAACACCGGUGGCGAAGGCGCCACUCUGGGCCGGAACUGACGCUGAGGAGCGAAAGCGUGGGUAGCAAACAGG
rnacentral:rRNA from 1 species